rnacentral:other from 12 species
ACCCGCCCCUUAUUGGGGCGACACUCCACCAUGAUCACUCCCCUGUGAGGAACUACUGUCUUCACGCAGAAAGCGUCUAGCCAUGGCGUUAGUAUGAGUGUCGAACAGCCUCCAGGACCCCCCCUCCCGGGAGAGCCAUAGUGGUCUGCGGAACCGGUGAGUACACCGGAAUUGCCGGGACGACCGGGUCCUUUCUUGGAUAAACCCGCUCAAUGCCCGGAGAUUUGGGCGUGCCCCCGCGAGACUGCUAGCCGAGUAGUGUUGGGUCGCGAAAGGCCUUGUGGUACUGCCUGAUAGGGUGCUUGCGAGUGCCCCGGGAGGUCUCGUAGACCGUGCACCAUGAGCACGAAUCCUAAACCUCA